rnacentral:lncRNA from 1 species
AUGUGCUUGCUGGUCAUUUGUGUAUCUUCUUUACAGAAAUGUCUAUUCAGGCCCUUUGCCAAAUUACCAUCUCUGUUGCAACCUGCCGGGCAGGUCACAUCACAGCCUCUGCUGCAAUGGGCCCCAAACCAUCAGGAAUUCAACAACAGCCAGCUUUCCUAUUGUUGGCUCGAGCUUUCAACUCAGCACUCAGCAGAGAAAGCCAAAUCUGCUUCCCAAACCCAUCAUAUGGCUCCAGGUUCCUGUGACUGCAUAGGAGUCUGUUGGAUUAUUCUGUUUAUCUUUCCCAGUGGCCAAGACAUUGUUCCCAGCCCACAAAUGUGGAAAGCCCUGGGCCUGGACCUGUCUCGCCUUGAGUGA